CCACGUCAGCAAAACACUCCACAAAAUUCCACAUCAUUCUCUCUUUAUUAUGUUCUGCGGAUUCUGCGGAUUCAACCUCUCCUAUGUUCAAUGGAGGUUACAAAUUUAAAUCACACUUCCCACAUUCGGAUUCUUUACUUUCGGUGUCCAUCCACAUUCCCACUUCCUAUGUUCAAUGGAGGUUACAAAUUUAAAUCACACUUUCAACAAUUCUUCCACUCUCCAUAUUCCAUUCAAUUGCACGAUUCAUUUUUCCCAUUUCAAUUUCUUCCUCUAUUUCUUUGUUUCAGUCGUCUGUUUCCAUAAUCACAGGAUUCGACCCUUCCAAACUCCAAACCCUAGACCUCAAUCCCAAAACCCAAAUCAAAAAUCAUUGGCGAGAAUAUCAACCUUCCCAUUACCGAUUCACACUCUUCCCAUUCCCUGACUUUCGAACCGGAGCUUCAAUCUUCGAUCAGCCUGAUUCCGACAAGUCAUUUUACGGUCUCAACCUCCAUUCUGGGAAUUCCGAGAACAAGAAACAACUAGGUGACUGUGAUGGUCUGAGGCUUGAGUUUCAAUUGAAGUUAACAACACGUUUUCGGCGGCGAUUGAGGUUGAAUUCCGAAUUGUUGAUAUUUUUUAUCGAUUCAAAUGACAAUGGGAUCUAUGAUGAUGUCUUGCUCAUGGAAGGUUCCUAUUUCUUCUUCCUUCCAAUCAGUAUCAUACUUACUAUCUAAAAGUUCUUUAAACUGCUGAAGAGGAUGAUGCUGAUUGGGAAAGGUUAGGAGUGAAAGCAGUUAAUGGUGCUAGAAUGUGUUUUUCAGUAAUGUUUUACUCUAUUCCAUACAUAUUUUAUUUGACUGCCCUAAAUUAUAUAUCUUUUGUAGGGUCA